GAAAGCCUGCAGCCUGCACUCAUUCCCUGCCGGAUUGUUGCCGUGAACGGAGGAAUCCAAGGCCUUCCACACUCCCAAGACCAGCCAGGUCUCUCUACCCACCCUGGAACAACUGUUUCCCACUGCCGCCAUAACCAACCUCCACUCCCAGCUCCCCUUUUCUAAUAAACAAAUGUUACUUUCA